GAGUAAUGGGGGAUAACGCAGCGAAAGUUGUGCUAAUACCGCAUACGCCCUGAGGGGGAAAGUGGGGGAUCGCAAGACCUCACGUUAUUCGAGCGGCCGACGUCUGAUUAGCUAGUUGGUGGGGUAAAGGCCUACCAAGGCGACGAUCAGUAGCGGGUCUGAGAGGAUGAUCCGCCACACUGGGACUGAGACACGGCCCAGACUCCUACGGGAGGCAGCAGUGGGGAAUUUUGGACAAUGGGGGCAACCCUGAUCCAGCCAUUCCGCGUGAGUGAAGAAGGCCUUCGGGUUGUAAAGCUCUUUCAGCUGGAGUGAAACGGUGCGCUCUAACAUAGCGCGCUAAUGACGGUACCAGCAGAAGAAGCACCGGCUAACUACGUGCCAGCAGCCGCGGUAAUACGUAGGGUGCGAGCGUUAAUCGGAAUUACUGGGCGUAAAGCGUGCGCAGGCGGAUUGUUAAGCAAGAUGUGAAAUCCCCGGGCUUAACCUGGGAAUGGCAUUUUGAACUGGCAGUCUAGAGUGCGUCAGAGGGGGGUGGAAUUCCACGUGUAGCAGUGAAAUGCGUAGAGAUGUGGAGGAACACCGAUGGCGA
rnacentral:rRNA from 1 species